CUCGCUGACUUGUCUCAGCUCAUAGGGCCUUCAGGAUCAUGGCCUAUAAAAUGCUUCAAGCAGCCCUGUGUUCAACAUUGCUUAUAGGAGCUUUGGGAGCACCAUUUUUAUUGGAGGACCCAGCAAACCAAUUCCUACGUCUCAAAAGACACAUAUAUUUGCAGGAUUACUGGGAUUCAGAUUACAGUCCGAAUACAUGGGGAAGCACACUGGCUAAUCAGGCUUAUGAAACAUGGACUGCUUUGAAAACAACAGCACAGUAUUACCUGAAUGUGAAUAAUUUGCCCCAUGACACAUCUACUGCCCAGUAAAUGUGCUUUGCUGGUAGCCAGGAUAGCAAAAAUAGUGGAAGCCAAAAGGGGCAAUGCCUCCAAACCACUAGAUUUGGAGACCUCAGGGCAAAUCCAUCCCAUCUACUAAAUUAUUUAUUAUGUCUGCCUCAUGAAGCUAUUGAAAGGAGUAAAUAUGAAAAUCCCUGUAGAGACCUAGAAUUAGAAGCUCUCAAUAAAUUGUUGCUUUUAAAAAUGAGAACUAAAAUAAAGACUGUAGUAAUAAAAUUUACCAAAUGGGAAAAGGAAAUAAAAAAACAAAACAGUAGUGUCAUUAAAAUUCCCUGUCUGAAAGGAAAACAAAACAAAACAAAAAAAACCGUUCAUAGCUCUUGCUUUCUAUUGCCUCUUCUUUGAGAGAAUUAGUUCACUUUUUGUUCAAGGAAGAAAAUGGGAUCUCUCAUAUGGAACUGGUCCUCUCCUCUUUUCUUCAAUACUUGUCACUUCCUAAAGUCAGUCUAUUCCAAGAUCAUACUUGUGAAUUUUUUUUUCAUCAAAGCUGUACUGUUUUGGGCAAUAGAGAAUAAAAUCUUAGCUCAUACUAGGGAACAGAUGAUGACUCGGAACCCACUGGAAGCCACCCACCUGUAAGUCUUCCUGAGAAAUUUUGUCAAAAUUACGCAAGUUUUAUGUUCCAGCCCAUAAUAUAUUUUUUGUUUUGAUAUGAAAUAAUAAUUUUUAAAAAAUCUCAAAUCCAUUAUUACUCACUUUCCAUCCCCCUAAGCCCCAGCCCUAGUAACCACUAAUAAACUUUCUGUAGCUAUACAAAAAAAAGAAAUAACCUUUUGAAUUUACUGGCCCUAUGUUUUUAUUAAUAUUUCCAAUAACAUGGAAAAAUUGAUGUUACAUAAAAUUGCACUAUGUUUGUCCAUGGAAUACCACUUCAGUACUCAAGAUUGAAAAGUACUGAGGAGAUGAUAUAACCAAUCACCAAGACUCCCUUGAAAUCACAGGUAAGUGGACUUUUGCCUUCAAAAGUCAAUUUCUCCGUAUACCUAGGUCAACUGUUCUCUGCAGAGAUUUCUUUUGGUAAAUAGAAGCAUCUCCUCAAGACUAUAGUUGGUCUUAUGUGAUCUUUUAUUUAUUUUUUUUUCUUUUUGGCCACACCUAUAGCAUAUGGAAGUUCUUGGGCCAGGGGUCGAAUCUGGGUUGCAGCUGCAACCUGUGCCACAGCUGCAGCAAUGCUGGAUCCUUAAUCCACUGCGCCAGGUGAUCAAACCCAUGCCAUUGCCAAGACAAUGCUGGAUCCUUAUCCUGCUGUGCCAUAGCAGGAACUCCUUAUGUGGUCUUAAAACAGCUUCAGGCACUUUUUCAGCAGGAAAAAAUCAGAUGCCACGAAGCUGCACUAUAAAGAUUUUGGUCCAGCACUUUCUUUUCCAAAAGAACACCAGUAGCUACUCAGUAUUCUCCAUUUUUUCAUUCCAUCCCUUAGAGGUGUUUUCAGUGAGAAUUGAGACUAACGCAUAAUUUAUUAUGUUAACUGCUAUCCAUUUCUAAUACACAUAAACAGAUUUUUAAAUCAAAUCACAACUGAAUGGACAAAAGAAAGAAAUCGAGGAGUUCCCGUCAUGGCGCAGUGGAAAUUAAUCUGACUAGAAACCAUGAGGCUUCGGGUUCAAACGCGGCUUGGAUCUGGCGUUGCUGUGGCUCUGGCGUAGGCCGGCAGCUGUAGCUCCAAUUAGACCCCUAGCUUAGGGCUGCACCCACAGCAUAUGCCGUGGGUGCAGCCCUAAAAAGACAAAAGAAAGAAAGAAAGAAAGAAAGAAAGAAAGAAAGAAAG
rnacentral:lncRNA from 1 species